CCAGGUUAGGCCACAAGAGGGCACCACCUCCUUCCUGUCUGCGUCACGCUGCCUCCUUGGACACUCCCACAGGAGGCACCUGGUGCAGGACGCUCUGUCAGUAAAAGGAAGUGCAGACGGUCACUGCUGGAAGAGCCUGGGCUUCGACCUGGGGAUCUGUCACCAGAGUUGUCAGGGGGUGCCAAUUCCUUCUGCCCACAGGACAGAGGCCCACGGCAUGCCUGGCAUGUAGGGAUGUAUUUGAAAGUGUUACUACUUUACAGCUGUGUUCAGAAACGGUCUCAACACUGAAAUUCUGGAAGAGGAGUGCAGGAUCUCACACCUACGUGUGUGUGAGCGAAUCAUCCUCACAAGUUUUUACUUUUGGCUGAGGAAUUGCCACAAGCCACUGAACUUGGAAUCAAUCCUGGCUCUGCCUUAUGCUAUGUGAGUGACUGUGGGCUGGUCACUUGACCUCUCUGAACCUCAGGAGCUUUGAGACGAAGGUGAUGCGAGUUAAAGUAGAUUGGUUGAAUCUCAAGCCAGGAUUCUUCUCCAGAUUUGACCUCCCUUCCCUGGACUCCUCAGAAGGACUUGGUUCAGGCCACAGAGACAAGCUUCUGCAGGGAGGCCUGGGUUGAGGUUCACUGCAGCUCUAAGAGCCUGUCCUGCUCUGGUCGCAGUGGGGGCCCAGGCUCCUGAGCCAGGCGCUGAGAAGCACGUGUGAAUAAGGCAUGUCCGCUGCCUGCAAGAAGCUUCCACCUGGUGACUCUUCAAAAAAAAAACAGUAAAACAAAACAUGCACGUGCAAGACCGUAGCCGCAAAUUCGCAGUCACGCAGAUAUACACCAAAACCAGCACAAUAAAAACAGCGCUACCUGAGCCAAUAGCUGAAGCCAAUAGGUAAGUCAGCCUUUGGUAAGUACCAUCCGUUAUUAGCUGUGUUGGGGGAGCAGGCCUUUGAACCCAAGCUGCAGGGGAAGUGUCCCCCCUCCCAGGACUCCUCUCCCAUAAACAGCCAGGAGACACCACCCCCUUUUCCCCUCAUCCUCCACAGCACAAGCUCUUCUUCCUCCGGGGUCUGGGCUCUGGGGGUCUGAAGAGAACAUUUCUCAUGUUGUACCCUUUUCCUGCUUCCGCUGGAGGAUGGGGCUUCCCACCCAAAAUAGAUGCAGACCCACCCAGCAAGAGGAGGGGCUGACAGCUUGUGGGGGAAGAUCAGAACUCUGGAUCUUGUAAGUUCAGACGUCCUGUAAACUCUGACCAGAGUAUAAACAUCCCCCGGGACUGAGGGGAGGAUGUGUUGGUGGGCAGGGGGCCCGGCGCCUCCAUCUGCCCUGGGGACAGGCUGUUUAUUCCACAUCCCUCACGGGCCCCCUUGGGCUCCUUCCUGUCUAGGUCUGGGCAAGUAGAGGCAGGCAGGACAGCCCCACAUGGGGCCUGAGGCCUUGGACGUAAGAUUCGACCUCUCAGGGCUGGAAGGGAACUUUCGAAGCUCGCCAAGCUCAACUCUCUCUUCUUUUUGCAUCUCCCUCACAGCUGGUCUUCUGGCCUCUGCUAAAACACCUUGGCUAAUGGGGAGCUCAGGGCAGUCCAUUCUAUUACUGGCACUCUGGCAGCUGGAAAGUGUUCGAAAAAAGUUGUUCUAGAAUUGUUCAGUGUGAGCUGAUUGAGCACAGCUAAGAAUAAUGUGUACAAUGAGAUAAUAGCAGGGCCAUUCCCCGAGCCCACACUGUGCCAGGUGCUUUAUGUGCAUUAUCCCAUUAAAUUCUCCUUCCUCUCGAGGAGGACACAUAGGCUCAGAAAAGUUAGGCCACCUGCCCAAGGUGACCCAGCAGUUUUGUGGAGGGGCUGGGGUUCAGUUGCUUUAGUUCAGAGUGUGUGCUUUAUAUAUUAGCCUAUACUGGUUUUUCACAAUCCAAAAGCAAAAAUAGCACACGUAACACAAAAACACCGUACAACAAACACAGUCACACACAAACCAACCACAUUACAAUAAAAGUAGCCCAAACUGGCCAAAUCUUAAGUACCCUUUGUAUGCCAGGAAAAUCAUAAUUUUUAUGAUAAGGCCACUUUAACAACCCUAGGAGGAAACUGAGGCUCAUUGAAGUUAGGAAGAAUGGAUGUGGCCACAUUAGAAGGGGCAGAGCACGUGUCCAAGCAUCACUUCUGAAGUCUGCAGUCUCCCUCUACACCAUAGUGCAUGAUAGGAGGGCACUGUAGCAUAACGAAAGAGAAAACUUGUAUCAUUAUUAUUAUUAUGUUCAACAUCGAGAGCUUUAAAAAGCGGGAUGUGCAUCCUCAGAGAUGAAUGAUCUCCCUACACUGGACGUGUCUAGCAAAGAUGCUUUAGAAGAGGUUCCUACACAAGAUAUUCCCCAGCGUCAAUCCGCGACCCAGAGACACAAACUUGGUGUUCUCGAGGCUGGAUGCUGGGUGGCAGGGAGGCCUCGGACACCCAGCCCCAGAGCACAAGCCCACCCAUUGCAGUCCUCCUCAACUCGCAUUUCCUUGACUGCUCCCCUGGGGGAGGAGGUGUUGGCGCCUGGCCUGGGCAGAGGGUCAUGUGGAUGCGGCGGACCCUCUGCACAUCCAGUGGCCGCCCAUUCACCCAGGCCUUGCCCUUUUUGAGAACUGGGAGCUCUCUGGCUGGGUCUGUUCCCACCAACAGCGUUCCCAUCCAGGGAGCUUAAAAUAGUGCCUCUUGGCUGGGGCUCUGGAGUGAGCAGUGAGGGAGGCAUUUGUGCAAAUAUGGGCCUGGGAGAAGGACUCCUACCCCAAGGGGGUGGGGGUGGGGUGGGGUGGGCAGUGCGGCAGGAGAGCCAAGACCUCCAGUGGAGGAUGUGCCCUCCUGGCCACAGCCCCCCUCCAUAUAGCAGUAGAGGCGCCUGCUAGUCUCCUCCUGCCUCCCCGACCUUACUGGGUCCACUUGGGCAAAUCUCUACACCGAAUCCCGCAGGCCUUCCUGGCCCAGCCGAGGCUCCAGGGUGGGCCCACUGGGAACAGGGACCUCUACGUUCUUCUGCUGGUUCUAUCCUUUUCCCCACCUCCUACCUAGGAACACUCUAGAAGCAUCCUUUCGAAGGCCCAACUCAAAAGUUAUUUUUAAUACUUACAGUAACAAUUGCAGCUGCCACUAAUUGAGGGCUUACUUUUGUCAAGCGCUCUGCUAAGUGCUUUAACAUGCAUUGUCUUUGGUCCCAACGACCAUCCACUGAGAGCCAAGUUACCAUUAUCUCCACUGUGCAGAAGAAACUAAGGCUCAGAGAAGUCAAGUAACUUUCCCAAGGUCACACAGCUCUGAAUUGGCAGAGGCAGGAUUAAAACUCAGGUCUGUCAACCUCUGGAGUCUGAACUCUUACCUCCUGAGCUGCACCUCCUCCUCCAGGUCCCCGCUGCUCUGGGCUCCCAUGCUCCAUCCCAGCAUUAUCACCCUGUAUCACAUACAUACGGCUGUUUUGAUUCAAUGCAUCAAGUAUUUAGUGAAUGCCUAGUGUGCCAGGAACAUUGCUGGGUGCCAUGCCCACACCCUGGGAGCUCUCAGAUCCUCUUGGAGGACUCUAGUUUGGGCUUGGGCUCAGUGACCUCCCUGACAUGCAGGAUCUGGUUUGAAGAUGUCAGGGUGAGGUUGAGGCAAGCACAGAUCCUCCUUGAUGAUCAGCUGCCUCCUUCCUGGACAUUCCUGCCUCCUUCCUGGCUGGGAUGCUCCUCUCCUUCCCGCACAGCAGGGAACAGCACGUGCAGGAAUCAGACAAACUUGUGAAUGCUCUGUGACUUUGGGCUCUCUGAGCCUCAGUUUCCCCAUCCAUAGAUUCGGGAUAAAAUUAGGACCUCACCACAAGGUGGUUGGAAGGAUUUAAUAAAACAAUGCACAUGAAGGACUUAGCACAGUGCCUGGUGGUCAGUAAGUAGAAUUGUACAGCAGCUAUUAUUGCUAAUUGUUUCUUUCUGAAAAUUACGGUGUCCAGGUGCCAGAUGCUUAGGGCCUAGCACGUGGUAGGUGCUCCAAGUGAAGGGAAUCACUGACACAGCAGACAGAAGCCCCCAACCCUCCCCACCUCUGCCCCCUCACUCUUGGCUGGUCGUGCUGUUCCUGAUCUGAUGUGGAAGGUGUCCCGGACACUGGUCCUCAUCAACAGUAGGGUUACUUGGGCAGCCGGGGGCAGGCAAAGGACUUUUACUUACCUGGUUCCCUCGUUUUCAGCCCAGGGUCCAUUCUAGGGAAAAGGGGUGGCUGGCACGGAAGUUCUGCCAGGGUUUGCCUGCUCCUUGGAGGUGUCUGGCUUUCUGGUGGCGCCACCUGGUGGUGAGUACAGAACUGCUCCUAGCUGGGCGGCAGCUCACGGACCUGGUGGCUCUGAGUACGACCAUUCCCUGACACUCACCCUCCAGCCCAUCCACCCCUUUCCUCAUUCCCCUGUGCUGACCACCUUCUGUGAGAAAAGACCUAAGGACCCCAACUCUGCUGUGGGGCAGAGACCCCUGAAGCCCAAGUGCCCAUGCCUCCCUCAGGCCUGGCUCUGACCUGAGGGGUAGGGUCUCUACGUGGUUGGCCAGGGUUCACCCUCAGGAUAUCCUUCAGGGCUGAUGACCUCUCACUGGUUUCUAUAAACCAAGGCUGGAAGAAUGGGCCUCCUUCCUGGCCUGAGAUGGCCCAGGAAUGGGAAACCCAGUAAUGGUCCCUGGGCCCAUCCUUGACUCCCCACUGUACCUGCUUGGGUACACACAGAUCCCCCUCCACAUUGAGGGGGCUCUGGGACUCCCAGAGGGACUGGCCUGGCUCCUAGGUUCCCACAUAAGCAGCCAAGAGGCCUAGCCCAGCCCAGAGCUGUAUGUAUAAAGUUUGGAGAAAACUAGUAAGAAUUAGAAGACUGAAUUGUGCUCAGACCAGCCUUACCCCACCUUGCACCCACAUGCUGUGUGAGCUUGGGUAAGACCCGUCCCUCCCUGGGCCUUGGUCUCCUUGUGGUAGAAUGGCGGUGGGGCAGGGAAUGAGCUAGGGGAUGGGUGAGGACCCCUAUAGCUCCCAGACUGGGGCCUUGUUAAGGUGCAAAUUCCUGGGCCCGCCCCAUCAGAACUCUGGGCCCAGGACCCUGGAAUCUACGUGAAGUUGGAAGCUGAGGCGGCCAAGUCCUGUCUUUGGGAGACGGAAGCCAGCAGUGUGUGUCGCCAGCAGGUAAGGAGAGUGUGAUGCUUUCAGGGGUCCUGAGAAGCAGAGGAACCCCCUAGCAGCCCAAUCCCCAUCUUUUAAUUUCUCCACCGUUCUGUGGAUAAAGGGAUGUGUCCCCCCCAGCUGCGUGUCUGUUGGACCCCACCGGCAGCAGCAGCAGAGGGACAGCAAGGAGGCUGCACAGGUUACAGCCAGGUUGCCCCCAUCCUUCGCCCCCUCGUGCUGGCUGUUUCACUUGUUCAAAGGACAGUGGUGGUGGGGCUGGGACAGCCUGGGGUGGGACUGGGGGCCUUGUUACUUGAGGAAGUAUUUUCAGAGUCCCCCUCCCUCUGGAGUUUCCAGUGGUAGAAUAGAGCCCUGUCUAGUAUUUGACCAAAUAUGGUGGUAUCUCUCAUGAGCUCGAGCCUCAGCCAGCUUCUCAGUUAUGCUGUGGAAACCUGCCCCGGACAGAUUAAUCUUGUGACAUUCAGGAGCGCCUUGCACCCUGCGUUCUUCCCUUGGUGAUUCCUGUAAAUGGCCAAGAGUGGCCCUGAGUAGGACGGUGCAGUCCUGGAUGCCUGUUCACGGUGUCCCUCCCCUGUCCUCUUCACACCCCCUUCCACCCCCUCCUCCAUCCCCCGGAUGCCGGCGGGGCGGGGCGGGGGGGGACUUGCUCGCUCACAUUCAGCUGGGCUGCUCACUCAAGGGGAGAGAUCCAGACCAGCAGCGCUGGUCCGUUCAGCCCAUGAUUCCAGGAUGUGUAGACCCUGGGGUCACCUGAGCUCAUGAAAUUGUGGCCAGAGCCUGUGAAGCCCAGAAGUCUCUCAGCCAUGAGGGUGGGCCCGAGGGGAUAGAAAGGAGAGUUGGCUGAGCAAUGAGAACCGUGCUUUGCUCUGAUGCUAACGUUCCCAGUAACAAUUAUACAAUUAUUUUAUAAUGAUAACAUUCAUAAUAAACAGCUGUGUUUAUUGAGCACAUACUACGUGGCACUGUGCCAGUUGUUUAACAUGCGUUCUUUCCCUUACUCCUCGUGGCAGCCCUGAGAGGUGGCUACUAUGACAUCCCCAUCCUAGAGAUGGGGGCACUGAGACUCAGAAAGAUUUCAGGGAGAGAUGGGCCAGGCCACUGUCGAUUCCUGGGUACGACUCCCAUUUUACAGAGAAGGAAACUGAGGCUGAGAGAGAAUGGAAGUCACAAGCAGCCACACAGGGGUAGGCCCUUGGAGUGGAGACCUUCUCUACACGAGGGGGAGCGUUGCAUCCAGAAGGCCAGGACAACCGGCCGUGAAGUCCUCACGAACCCGUGACUUGGCCUGCGUGAGAGCACACAGAUUCAGAAACAUGUUCAUAGCAGGCCAGAAUUGUGCAGAAAAUAUGCCAAGAAAAACAGAGUGGGGUGGUGGAUAAAGCCCCACAUGGGGACCAGAUACGAACCCCAGCUCUGUCAUCUCUCACUCAUUGUAUAAUCCGAGACAAGUCCUUUCUUCACCCUGGCCCCAGUUUCCCCUCCUGUGAACUACCCGUGUACUGGGGCCACGGAGCUCACCUGAGGCUGGCUGAGGCCGGAGUGCCUGAGGCUGUUUCCCUGGGAGAUGGGGCCUGUGUCCCACUCCUGGCUAGCUCUCUCUGAGAACAUUUGAUCUCCUGACCAACGGACAGCCUGUCCCUCCUCCACCCUUGCCCCCUUGCCAUCCCCCAAACUAACGAAGCCGAUUGUCUCAGGCGGCCCUGUGGGUGCUGGCUGGGCGGCCGGCCGCAGGCCACAGGCGGAGGUACCACCCGCCAGAGCCCCAUCAGACACACAGGGCAUUGUCCCUCAGUCAACAGCCCCUGGGCACCUCGUCCCAGCUCCUGGCCUGCCCCCACGCCCCUCACCGCCUGCCACUGCGCCAGGCCCAGCCAGCUGGGGGCCCAAGGCUCCCAGGCGAUGACGAGCCCACCCACCCACUCCCCCGGCAACCCCCUGACGAGCUAUAAUUGCUUCGCGCCGUCCUGUUGCUGCCAUUCUCCUGGCGGAGGCAUCUGGGGUUCCAGGCGGGUGGCAGCUGCAGGCCGAUCGCCUGGCUCGCAGGAUGGACUGGCCACACAACCUGGUACGUGACGAUUCACCACUCCACCCCCAUCCCUUUUUAGGGCCUGGAUGUUUCGUUACUUCUUCUCUAUUGAUUAAUAGCAGCCUCUGUUUGGCUUGGAAUCUGCAGAGGUGAGUUCUCCCUCUGUCCUCUCCCCCAGGACACGAAGGAAACAGAGACAGGUCUCAGAGGCUGCAGCCAUGGCCAGUAGCUCGGCUCCUGAGCUGCGCUCAGCCCCAUGACACUGAAGCCCUUUCAGGCCAAAGGCAUCUGGGGAGAUCUUGGCCAUCUCCGUUAUCGGGGUUUUUCCAAAGAGCCUCUGGGUCCUGAGAUCCAGGCUGUGUGACCCUGGGCAAGUCCUUCUGUUUCUCUGUUUCCCAUCUAUAAAGGGAGAGCCAGAGUUUAAGAACGCCAUGUGAGAAGCUCCGAUGAGAAAGCCUAUUGUUAGGGAGACAUUUUUCUGCAGCAGAAUCUAGGACCAAAAUGGAAGAAUUCAGCCACUUGAAUCUGUCAUGGGUUUUGUGCCAAGAAAUGGUUCUGCCGAGAGGGGCUCUGCCGGAACUUGUUUCUAAGGGUCAAGACUGGCUGGGUAGAUUGGCACGGGCCGUGUGGGUGGUAGGGUGAGGGAUACAGGGCAGGUGGGAGCCUGGCUAGAUUCAACGAGGAGAUGAAAUUCCCCCUAGAGGGUCCUCCCUUCUGACCAGCCCUGGCCCUCACCCAAGUCCUGGCCUUUCUCUCCCGGCUUCCUGAGGAGUCUGUGUUCUGCUGGGCUCCCAGGUCCUCUGCCGUGUGAGUGAGAGGCUUUCCUGAUGCUCCCAGAUGUGGAUGGUCGGCUGAGGGUGGACAAGGGGUCAGGCAGGCAGAGGGUCCGGGUGUGGACGAGGGGAGCAAAGCUGUCAUGGAGGCCAACAGGGAUCCUUGGCCAUGACCUGCCCACCUCCCCAGCUGCAUCUCCCAGCCGCUUCUUUCAGCCUCCUUUCAGCAAAGCUCUUAACCAAUUGAAACUUCAUUUCACACUUUCCUUCCCCCACCCCAUACAAUUUUUAGGCUCCCUCUGCCCAUAUCUGCCUCUGUCUUAUCCUUCAAACCUCACCAGACACGCCCCCUCCCCAGAAAGUCUUUGCAAGACCACCCCACUGCCACAAGGCUAAGCGGGUGGCCCUGCUCUUUUCUAAUCACACGCUGUGUGGUCCCAUCCACACACUGCUGCUAGCGAGGCUUAGGUGCACGUUUUCUUGUUCACCGUCUGUUUUCCUUGCCAGACUGUAAGCGACAGAUGGGCAGGGAUGGUGACAGGCAUUCAUUCACUCAGCAAAUGUUUACUGAAUACCUAAGUGCCCAGUACCGUGCAGACACAGGGGACGAGGCAGUGUGUGGGAACGGAUACGAUGCUGGCCCUCAUGGAGCCUGUGCUAGGUGUGGGCCCAACAUAUGAAAGAAUCACAUGUAUGCACCGUAAGGCUACAGUCACGCAAGAGGCAUCAGGUGUUGAGAGCCCGAGAAGGUCCACAGAGGCCUCCCUAAGGAAGUGGCACUGGAGCCAAGACCUGAAGGCUAUUCCUUCUCACCAUCUCCAUCUUCCUGGGGCUGGGCCAGCCCAGGAACCCCAAAGGCAAGAGGAAGGGGCAAGGGCGGCCUGGGACCCUGGCCCCUGGGCCUCACCAGGUG